GGAAUCUUACACGCCAAAGGAGAGCACCCAACAACCUUUCAUGCAAGACCUUCAUGCAUGCGUGCUUUUGGGUGAAAAAAAAAUCACCACCCCUUCUCCUCUUGGUUGGCCUCCUUAUGAGAGAGAGUCUCAGGUACAUGGGACUCUUUGGUUUCAAACUAAAUGGGCUCAAAUUUGACUCGUUUUGGAUCUAAUUAGAACCCUAUUCGAACC
rnacentral:lncRNA from 1 species